UUUGUUCUGGCUGGCAGCAACACGAAGCAGCAUGUGAGGGCCCUCUGUCCCUGGGAUUCAGAUACAAAACCUAUGGUUGUGCGUGAUAAAAAAACCAUAACCGUCAAGCCUCACCAUCUCCUAUUGCUCUCAAUGUGUGCAUAGUGACAAUAAAUGGCUUAAACGGAAA